AGCCGUGAGGUGUUCCACACUAGAAUGCAAAUCUAGAGACGCACACCCAGGGUGUGCCGCGGCUU
rnacentral:tRNA from 1 species